rnacentral:rRNA from 1 species
AUUGAACGCUGGCGGCAGGCCUAACACAUGCAAGUCGAGCGGAUGAAGGGAGCUUGCUCCUGGAUUCAGCGGCGGACGGGUGAGUAAUGCCUAGGAAUCUGCCUGGUAGUGGGGGAUAACGUCCGGAAACGGGCGCUAAUACCGCAUACGUCCUGAGGGAGAAAGUGGGGGAUCUUCGGACCUCACGCUAUCAGAUGAGCCUAGGUCGGAUUAGCUAGUUGGUGGGGUAAAGGCCUACCAAGGCGACGAUCCGUAACUGGUCUGAGAGGAUGAUCAGUCACAGGGGAACUGAGGCACGGUCCAGACUACGGCGGGAGGCAGCAGUAGGGAAUUGUCGGCAAUGGGCGAAAGCCUGAUAGAGCAAUGCCGCGUGAGUGAUGAAGGUCUUCGGAUAGUAAAAAGCUGUAAGUAGGGAAGAAGAAAUGUGUAAGGAACUAUGCGUGUCUUGACGGUACCUAAUGAGAAAGCCACGGCUAACUACGUG